rnacentral:rRNA from 1 species
UGAGUAACACGUAUCCAACCUGCCGUCUACUCUUGGACAGCCUUCUGAAAGGAAGAUUAAUACAAGAUGGCAUCAUGAGUCCGCAUGUUCACAUGAUUAAAGGUAUUCCGGUAGACGAUGGGGAUGCGUUCCAUUAGAUAGUAGGCGGGGUAACGGCCCACCUAGUCUUCGAUGGAUAGGGGUUCUGAGAGGAAGGUCCCCCACAUUGGAACUGAGACACGGUCCA